rnacentral:lncRNA from 1 species
UAUCCCUUGGUGGCUCUGAUCCAGCUUAGCGCUCUUGAAGCAUUGAAAUGUAGCGUCUAUUUCCUCAGGAAUGUUCUGUGCUUUCCCUGGGCUCUCCCAGCCGACAGGUCCUUGCCAGGCUGGGUACCACUGUCCUCCUGGGGCCACCAGCCCAAAUGCUACUGAAUACCAGGUACUUUUUCUAGCAACACAGUGGGUGCCCUGCGAUGUGUUUACAAUUUCUGUGCAUGCUAUACCCUAAGUACAGUUGCCUACAGAUGCUCACCAAUAAAACAUCACAACUCCCGGCAACGUUGCGUCUCUGCGCAAUGAGAUUCACAGUUGCUCUAACAGGCCACAAGGAAUUUAUGUAUCACUUCACUGUUUUGUUUUUCAGGGAAAUUCUACGAGUAAUAAUUUGUGCCCCCGUGGUUACUACUGUCCAGCUGGAACUGGCUACCCUCUUCCGUGCCCCCUGGGCACUCUCUCCAGCUCCCCAGGCCUGAGGCACAUAGAAGAGUGCCAGUCUUGUCCUCGGGGGCACUUCUGUGACAGGCCUGCGUUGGCGCUGUCCUCUGAUGCCACGCCAUGUGGCUCUGGGUACGUCUGUCUGGAGGGGAGCACCAGUUUCCGUCCCUUUGAUGGUCGCCGUGGCUACAUGUGCCCGGCGGGGCAUUACUGUCCCGCUGGCACAGCUGUAGAGGUGCCCUGUGAGCCUGGCACCUACAGCCCUGCGCCCGGCUCUGCCCGCUGCCUCACCUGUCCUAAUGGUACCGUGUGUUCCUCCUCGGCCACGCGGGAGCCCGCUCUCUGUCCGGCUGGUGAGCUUCUAAUAAUAAUAAUAUUGAAAUGUUGGAGAACGUAAUGUAACGUAGCUUUAAUUCUGUUAGAUCAAUCGUUUUUCUAUCAUGGAGAAACACUAGAGGCACCAGUCCGUGCUUGGAUUUCCUUAAUAGUUUGCUUUUGUCUCCUUGCACGCAGGCCAUUUCUGUCCUGCGGGGUGUGUUUUACCCUUGCCCUGUCCCGUUGGGACCCUCGGCGACCAGACUGGAGCACACUCCCCGUCUGCGUGCAGGCCCUGCCCCCCUGGGCUCUACUGCAGCUCCCCAGGCACCACAACACCACAAGGUGCAACAGCACCCUAAACACUGUCGGGCUCCACUUCUUCUGACAAUACAAUGUGCUG